rnacentral:rRNA from 1 species
ACGGGUGAGUAACACGUGGAUAACCUACCUAUAAGACUGGGAUAACUUCGGGAAACCGGAGCUAAUACCGGAUAAUAUAUUGAACCGCAUGGUUCAAUAGUGAAAGACGGUUUUGCUGUCACUUAUAGAUGGAUCCGCGCCGCAUUAGCUAGUUGGUAAGGUAACGGCUUACCAAGGCACGAUGCGUAGCCGACCUGAGAGGGUGAUCGGCCACACUGGAACUGAGACACGGUCCAG